rnacentral:rRNA from 1 species
AGUAGUUGAUCAGUGGCUACGAGGACGAACGCUGGCGGUGUGCUUAACACAUGCAAGUGGUGCGACGAACCAGAGCUUGCUCUGGGGCAAAGCCGCGAACGGGUGAGUAACACGUGGGUAAUCUACCCGAUGACCGGGACAACCCGAGGAAACUCGGGCUAAUACCGGAUGUGGUACGGAGACAUAAGUCUCUUUACUAAAGGUAGCUUCGGCUUCCGCAUUGGGAGGGGCCCGCGGCCCAUUAGCUAGUUGGUGGGGUCAAGGCCUACCAAGGCAACGAUGGGUAGCUGGUCUGAGAGGACGAUCAGCCACACUGGGACUGAGACACGGCCCAGACUCCUACGGGAGGCAGCAGUGGGGAAUCUUGCGCAAUGCGCGAAAGCGUGACGCAGCAACACCGCGUGAGGGAAGACGGCCUUAGGGUUGUAAACCUCUUUCAGAUGGGACGAAGGUGAUGCGGUGAAUAGCCGAUGUCAUUGACGGUACCGUCAGAAGAAGCUCCGGCUAACUACGUG